rnacentral:lncRNA from 1 species
CUUCAGGAAAAUUAGUUUGUCAGGUAUAGAGCCAGUGUCACUAAUCUUAGUGGGCCUCAGCAGGACUUGAGACUGGCCAUUGUUGGAGUGGGGAGAAGACCUUCUGAUAUGGUGCUGCUAUAGAGAGAGCUGUUGCCCGCUCCCUCCUGUCUCCUGGGAGGAGAAUGGUCUGCUGGAGUGUAUUCCCGAGCCGAGUGAGGAGGAUCUUCAAGUGGAACUUUCAGAAGCUGAUAGACGGUCACCGUGGUCGAGGAGAUGGUGGACUGCGGCCAGAGCAUGUUAAAGAGGCUUACGGCAGCAGGAUAAACAGAGCUACAUGCUGAUCGGCCAGAGCUGGCAGGGGCAACAGAAGUCCAAGGGUGUCUGUGACCUGGAUGUGGAUCACAUGAAUGAGGGAACUUGCCUGGAGCUGGCAAGAGCACCUCAAAACUGAGUCUGAGAGAGAAGGACCAAGAGCAAAGCACAAGCUGAGGGCAGGUUGAGAGAACCUAGCCGAAGAAAGAUGCUUGUUGCCCAUAUCAUGAAAAUUGGAAGACAAAUAAGAAAGAGGCAGAUGUCAGUUGUGCUGCCCAAGGUGGUCUGGGAAUGAGGAGGAGAAUGGAAUUCCAUGGUGCUGCAGGAAGGCUGGUGGCGCCCUCCCUAUCUUGAUCUCCUUGAAGAUCAUGUGUCUGGCCACCAAAACCUAUCACUGAUGCAGUAAACACACCAGAGCAAGUGACUCCACUCUACAUAUAUCCUUUCUUAGAAUCUUAUCAACACCAACCUUGCAGGAAGUUCCUGAGUUUCAAAAUCAGAUAUAGGUGAGCAUCAGGCAGUUUUGUCACUGCCACCUCACCCAUGCCAACAGCUCCAGGUGCUGCCUCAGAUGCAUGGGUCCCGCAUCAUGCAACUUCCACUUGAGCACCGCUCCCAAGCUCUCAACCACAUUUCCACCUCCCUGCUUGAUAUCUCUCUGUGGAUGUCCAAAUCUUACCUCAAACUCUAUUCCACACUUCUGAAACUCUACAUUCUUCUUCCACAGCAGCGCUCCUCUGUGGAUCACCAAGAACCAUGAAUUUGCUUAAAUCAGCUUCAUCGCUUAAAGAAACACCUCC